rnacentral:lncRNA from 1 species
AGGGGAGGAGCGCCAGUCACUCCUUUGAGGCCUUCAGACAUGUUCUCGAUGAUCCUCCAAGAACACCUCUUCAGGUCAUACUCCUCCCCACAAGUCAGCACUUUGUUGUUGUUGGCCACACCACCUAUCACAUAGAACUUGCCAUCCAUGAAAACCCCAGAACACAUCUUCCUUGCCCUAUUCAUGCUGGGGAGGAGUGUCCAGGUAUGAUUCUCAGAGUCAUACAUCUCUGCAGAGCUCAGUAUGGUGCCCAAAGAAUCAGUGCCUCCAGCAACGAAGGCUUUCUCCCCAACACUCGUUGACCCAAACAGGCAGCGGGGAUAGUUCAUUGCAUCAGCCCUGGACCAUGAAUUGGUUAGGAUGCUGUAUCUGAACACAAUGCGC